GUAAAAUAUUUUGCGAAUGUACAAUUCAACUGAAGGGGAACAUCACAAAAAAUUACUAUCGUGACCUGUAACGGUCGAGGUACCGACUUAAUGCCCACCAUCCCACCAAGCAGACUGCUGUGCCCUGCACAUAUGUGGUAAUUACUGUGGACUCCUGCGGCAUGUAGCACUUACGGACAGAAAAGUUUGUGGGUGUGAAGCUCGCCUGUAAAGCAAAGGAAGCAAACAGUCAGAUUACUGCAACGUCACAACCUUUUCAGUGAAAAACUCACCAACGCGAAACUAGGGUUAUUUUUGUUGCGCCAGCUGAACGAAGGCAAAGUCCAUUCAGGGAUAUCACCUUUGUGUGUUAUGAGGCAUCCGUGGUGCGUAUGUCCACUGAAGACAACACGAGGCUUGACCUUCUGCAGCAACUAGUGGAGAGAUUGUAAUUUGCACAGUAAAGAUACGACUCCAGUAAGCAGGAGCAAAACCCAGAUAAUGCAAUUCUACUGUGCACAAUGUAAUGUUUACAGUGGAGCAACAAUGAUCAGUUGCAAGCAGCAGCCGUCGACUCCAAUGGAGAAUAGUGGACUGAGGAGCACGAGUGUGCUACAGUGCAUAUGGCAUCAAAUGGUACAGGGCCAAGUAUGCUCCUCCCCAGAUGACUCCGCUCUAGCAAAGACCAAGUGGUUCUUGACUCCAGCUUAAUUUUGUGUAAACGAAUUUCCCAAGUGGAAAUUGCCGUCUGCCGACCAUCGGUUAGUGGUGGGUUUUUGGUGGGCAAACGACCUCGUCGGCCACUGCACCUUGAACCGACGUCUGUGUAAUGUCGCUCACGGUGCUGAUUGGCAAACGGCGCGGACCAAGAAGUUGUGCGCACGUGUUGCGGGUGUGGUAUUGAGAGCUUGGCAUAAGAAAAGCGGGCCAAUGUCGGCCCUGCACUGCAAACAAACUCGAAAAAACAACGCAGCUGCUACUCGAAACAAAAAAAAUAAAGAAAAGACGCUGUCUUUGUAGUUCUCCGGAUUCAACAUAUCCAAAUAAAUUUUUUCCACUUGCAAAAUUAUUUUGAGACGAGAUGAAGAUUAACUUCCGAUCGCCCUUGGUAGCUCAGUCAGUAGCAUGCUUGCUUGCUGAGCUCAAGAUGAUGGGUUCGAUCCAGGUUGAGGACGGCAACAAUGUGGGCCUUCGCUUCGAACACCUUGUGUGUGUGGUUUCGGUUGCACAUUAAGAAAUCCCAGGUGGUUGUAGUCCCACCCUCCUGCACGUGCCGCAUGUAGCUACACAAGCGUCAUCUAACCCACUUUACUGGCGAAUCUACUUCCAGUUAUUAGCAACAGUGAAUCAGCUUCGUGAGAGCCAAAGCGUGUUUUUUUUAAAUUCUCCUGUAGCGAUUUUAUGCCUCUAUGACUGACACUCAGGGAAUGCAAUAGAAUGGCAUUGGAAUCUGCAUGGUACCGUACUGCAAUGGGAUCAGAGUACUGCAUAACCAUGGGCCCUGCUCCUUACUCCAAGUGAUCCAUAGUUGGCCCAUGGUUGCUGUUAACCCAUGGGCCACUGUGUAGCCUACUAAUGGCCGGCUACUACCUAGAAUCGGCUCUACACUGGCCUUGUGUUGGCCUAUGUCUUAUAGGUCGGUUUGCUACAUUGGCCCAAGGCCUAAGUCGGGCCGAAGGCCAAUGUCAAUCCCCAAGCUUGGCUCAACGUUUUUUUGCAAGCAAUGAGUUUUAGGUCGGAAGCAUAUGUCGGCCUAACAUUUUGCAGACGUUGUUUUCCCCCUUGGGUUUUAACCAUAAUAAUUUCAACACACAGUUAGUAUUCACAUGACAUCAUCUGCUAAGAGUGGAAUAGACUUGAAAAAUGAUUAUUAUAUUGUUCGUCAGACAAUCAUAUGUUUGCUUUAGAUGAAAAAUUAAGAUGUACCAAUUUGCCUUGUUAUUUAGUUAUGUUCACUAUGUAUUUACUACUUAGCUGCAUUACGCCCUAGCAACAAAUGCAAGAUUUGAAGUCUGCAAAUCACAAAGAACUUAUGUGUACUGAUGACACUUGUGUUGUCCAAAUCGAUAUAUUGUUGACAGCCAAAGCCCUGUAGGCUGUACAUCGCUAGCCCAAAAUCGCAGAACACCAGAGCGAGUGUGGUCACUUUAUCGGGGCAUCAAGCAACACUGCUGAUUUGACAUAGCUAUGUUGGUAACUUUCCCAUAAUGUAAUAAAAUACCUGUAAAACACCUGUAAUAAAAUAAACCUUUGAAGCAGCA